rnacentral:lncRNA from 1 species
GACAAUUAUAUAUAUAACUCAACACUCUCACAAACAGAGCAAUGGUUUUCUGAUUAAUCGAAUCACGACAAUUACAUGGACUGAAACAGAGCAAGGAUACAACCGGAAAUCAACAAGCUUCAAACGAAUAUGCAGAAUUGAACUGGAAAUCAACAAAAACUCCCAACGGUCGAAGAACCCAUUUCAAAAUCCAAUCCAGUUUGGAAACCAAAACAAAAUAACAUUUUAGUUUUCAG